GAUGCAGGGUGUGUUCCCUAAUUCACUGCGACAAUCUGCUUGUCCUUUGACCCCCACACAGUAGAGGAAGACAAGGAUGGAGGUGUGGCGCUCUACCUCAGCUUGACCUCUUUAUCAUGGUUCCUCUACGUCCGGUCCUCACGCUCUAAAUCCCUCGACAGGGACAACAAUCAGUCCAGCUCAACACAGACGGGAGCCUACUGACACACAAGAGCUUCAACGCUAACACAGAAGGAAGCUCUGUGCUUAAAUAAAACUGUUCAAUAGUACAUUUUUUUGUCUUUUUACAAUUUUCAUAAAAAUUUGAUGUGAUCAUUAAAAUGUGCAUAUAUUAUUUUAAAUAUGUUUGCUCUGUUUUUAUUGUAAAAUAUUUAGAAAUUUCUCUUUUUUAACCAAACUAGUGCAAUUUUUAGGCUUGAUUUGAGGAACGAUUUAUGCUAAUAAAACAGAAGGAAAGGAGGCUUCAUGUUUAUGUUAAGAGAAUCGGUUCAAUGAUGCGGUUUUGAUUGAGACGCCGCCAUUUGAAUCUCAACAACGGCGGCGACGGGACGACGUUUUGAAAUGACCGUGUUAAGAGACCUCAAAUCAAAUCAACACAUAGACGAGACUAGAGAUGUUGUCCUCCGUUGUUUGGCUGUUAUUUGGGUGAAAAAGGAGUAUGACAUCUUCCAGGAGGUACAAUGAAACUUCAGGCAGACGUUGUAGAUCCGCCAGAGGCUGUGCCACAGGGUGAAGAAGGACAAGCCUGGCAUGCAAGGUGCAGAUGACGCUGGCAUACCAGGCAUCCUGUAGGAAGACCAGCGAGCGUGCUGCUAAUGGCCCUGUCUGUGGGACGUUAGGGAUUUUAUCAGCAUAUUGUGUGUGUUUUAUUAAAAACAAGUUUAAACUCCUCUUUCUACCUUUCUCUCUCUCUCUCUCUCUCUCUCUCUCUCUCUCACAUUAGAAAUUUAUCUGCAUGUGUCAUAACCACUUCCUUAUUCAGGAACCCAGAGCAAAGAAAAAAUAAUCUGAAGAAAUCUGAAAAUAAUAUGCAGUGAUAGCCCUGAGGAAGGAGAGAGAGAGAGAGAGAGAGAGAGAGAGAGAGAGAGAGAGAGAGAGAGAGAGAGAGAGAGAAAGAGAGACAGACAGACAGACAGGCAGACAGAGAAAGAAAGAG